AUUGAACGCUGGCGGCAUGCUUUACACAUGCAAGUCGAACGGUAACAGGCCGCAAGGUGCUGACGAGUGGCGAACGGGUGAGUAAUGCAUCGGAACGUGCCCAGUCGUGGGGGAUAACUACUCGAAAGAGUAGCUAAUACCGCAUACGAUCUAUGGAUGAAAGCGGGGGACCGUAAGGCCUCGCGCGAUUGGAGCGGCCGAUGUCAGAUUAGGUAGUUGGUGGGGUAAAGGCUCACCAAGCCAACGAUCUGUAGCUGGUCUGAGAGGACGACCAGCCACACUGGGGCUGAGACACGGCCCAGACUCCUACGGGAGGCAGCAGUGGGGAAUUUUGGACAAUGGGCGCAAGCCUGAUCCAGCAAUGCCGCGUGAAGGAAGAAGGCCUUCGGGUUGUAAACUGCUUUUGUACGGAACGAAACGGCUCUGGUUAAUACCCGGGGCUAAUGACGGUACCGUAAGAAUAAGCACCGGCUAACUACGUG
rnacentral:rRNA from 1 species